rnacentral:rRNA from 1 species
GGAAAGAUGAAAAGAACUUUGAAAAGAGAGUUAAACAGUACGUGAAAUUGUUGAAAGGGAAACGAUUGAAGUCAGUCAUACCAACGGGAAAUCAACCUUUUGAGUUCGUUCUUGUGGGUUUCGAGGAGUUUAAAAGCCUUCUGAUUUGUGAGGAUUGGGUUCUUUUGGUGUACUUUCUCGUACGGUUAGUCAACAUCGGUUUUGAAUGUCAUAAAAUGAUUGGAGGAAUGUGGCUUCGAUCUCGUAUCGAAGUGUUAUAACCUUUGGUAGAUGUGAUGUUCGAGACCGAGGAUUGCAACGGAUACCUUUCAGGCUAUUCGUCUGAUCUCUGAUACGUUGCCUUGAUGUCGAAAGCGUGCUUAUGAUGUUAGGGUAUUACGGUCAAAAGGUUAGAACGGAUUAAAUUCGUUAAGGAUGUUGACGUAAUGACUUUAAACGACCCGUCUUGAAACACGGACCA